ACGAACUCGGUCAUUUAAAGGAAGUAGGGAUCAUU
rnacentral:rRNA from 1 species